rnacentral:ribozyme from 1 species
UUUCUUUUCUUUCUCUCUUUUGUUUUCCCCUUUUUUUCUUUUGUUUUGAUUGUAUUGAUGUCAUUUGGUGAAAAAAGAGAGAGAGCGGAUGAGACUGACGUUCCUGAAGUUUGUUUUUUUGAUGAAAAUGAGCGAAAACGUGACGAGCGAGAAGGUGAAGUGUGUUUCUUUGAUUUUGUUGG